rnacentral:misc_RNA from 1 species
GAGCAGAAACCUUAUUCAAAAACUACUAGCGAAUUAUAAUGAAGCGCAAAUCAUGAGCAAUUGUUGAAUUAUUCGAUGAAGAAUAUUUUUUUAACAAAAUUGGCUAAGAAAUUUAUCAUUUGUUGUCACUUGUCAGUAAACAUUCUGCCGUGAAUGUGCUAUUUUGGUCAUACGGUUUACUUAAAAUAUUAAUGUUGUGCCUAGUUAUGUCCAAAAAUUAAAUGCCAUUAAUGCAUACAUAUUAAUAGAUUAAUCGAUUCAUAAUCUGAUGUCCCUAGAUUUUGAAACUAUUUUGGCAAAAUAGAAGUAAGGACCUGGAAUUGGGUUGUGUAAAACCUAAAGAAACACUCAUAGAAGGAAAAGACAAUGCAUUUCUUGCAGGCGAGAUCUUAGGAAAGUCCAAAAUCAAGAUUUAUGAUAUAUUGAGAGAAUGGCAUCUAUCUUGGUGAUAAUUUUACAGAAUUAUCCUCUACCCUAUUAUUCACCUCUAUAUACCAAAUUUUAGCAGCCCAACUAGGUAGAAUAAACAAUGAGAUCACUAGUUCAUUAGGCAUACACUCUACUAACAGAGGAAUAAAAAACACAUGUUUUGUUACUACUAUGAUAUGGAAAAUGACAGGGAAAUAAAACACAACUUCAAGCAGUUGAACAAAC